rnacentral:rRNA from 1 species
AGCGUAUGUGGUGGAUGCCUAGGCGAUAGAAGGCGAUGAAGGACGUGGUAGCCUGCGAAAUGCUUCGGGGAGCUGGCAAACAAGCUUUGAUCCGGAGAUAUCCGAAUGGGGAAACCCACUGCUUCGGCAGUACUUGCAACUGAAUCCAUAGGUUGCAGGAGCGAACCCGGGGAAUUGAAACAUCUCAGUACCCGGAGGAAGAGAAAUCAACCGAGAUUCCGUCAGUAGUGGCGAGCGAACGCGGAACAGCCCAGUUGGAACCAGUCGAUAGAGCUUAGUGGAACGGUCUGGAAAGUCCGGCCAUAGCGGGUGAUAGCCCCGUACACGAAAGGUAAAGUCGAUGACCAACGAAGAGUAGGGCGGGACACGUGUAAUCCUGUCUGAACAUGGGGGGACCAUCCUCCAAGGCUAAAUACUCUCUAUCGACCGAUAGUGAACCAGUACCGUGAGGGAAAGGCGAAAAGAACCCCGGAGAGGGGAGUGAAAUAGAACCUGAAACCGCAUACGUACAAGCAGUCGGAGCCUCCGCAAGGGGGUGACGGCGUACCUUUUGUAUAAUGGGUCAGCGAGUUAUUUUCAGUGGCGAGGCUAACCGAAUAGGGGAGCCGUAGGGAAACCGAGUCCGAACAGGGCGAAUCAGUCGCUGGGAAUAGACCCGAAGCCGGUCGAUCUAUCCAUGUCCAGGGUGAAGGUGGGGUAAUACCCACUGGAGGCCCGAACACACUACUGUUGCAAUAGUAGGUGAUGAGGUGUGGAUAGGAGUGAAAGGCUAAUCAAGGCCGGCGAUAGCUGGUUCUCCCCGAAAGCUAUUUAGGUAGUGCCUCAUCGAGCACUCCUGGGGGUAGAGCACUGUUUAGGCUAGCGGGUCAUCCCGACUUAGCAAACCUAUGCAAACUCCGAAUACCAGGAAGUGAACCGGUGGGAGACACACGGCGGGUGCUAACGUCCGUCGUGAAGAGGGAAAUAACCCAGACCGCCAGCUAAGGCCCCAAAUUCAUGGCUAAGUGGUGAACGAUGUGGGAAGGCAUAGACAGCCAGGAGGUUGGCUUAGAAGCAGCCAUCCUUUAAAGAAAGCGUAAUAGCUCACUGGUCUAGUCGGCCCGCGCGGAAGAUUUAACGGGGCUCAAGCCAUGAGCCGAAGCUGCGGAUCUGCACGCAAGUGCAGGUGGUAGGGGAGCGUUCUGUACGCCUGUGAAGGUGCACUGCGAGGUGUGCUGGAGGUAUCAGAAGUGCGAAUGCUGACAUGAGUAACGUUAAUGCGGGUGAAAAACCCGCACGCCGAAAGCCCAAGGUUUCCUGCUCAACGUUAAUCGGAGCAGGGUGAGCCGGUUCCUAAGACGAGACCGAAAGGUGUAGCCGAUGGAAAACAGGUCAAUAUUCCUGUGCCCGGUGUGACUGCGAUGGGGUGACGGAGAAGGCUAGUUCAGCAGGUAUUGGUUGCCUGUUUAAGCAUGUAGGGGGAGUUGCCAGGCAAAUCCGGUGACUCAUUCAACCCCGAGGUGUGAUGACGAGGUCCCACGUGGACCGAAGUGAAUAACGCCCGGCUCCCAGGAAAAGCCUCUAAGCUUCAGGUCACAUUGGACCGUACCGAAAACCGACACUGGUGGGCGAGCAGAUAAUCUGCCAAGGCGCUUGAGAGAACUCGGGUUAAGGAACUCUGCAAAUUGAUACCGUAACUUCGGAAGAAGGUAUGCCUUCGACGGUGAAGGGACUUGCUCCCCUAGCUGUUGAAGGUCGCAGGUAAUCGGUGGCUGCAACUGUUUAUCAAAAACACAGGACUCUGCGAACACGUAAGUGGAUGUAUAGGGUCUGACGCCUGCCCGGUGCCGGAAGGUUAAUUGAUGGGGUCAGCCGCAAGGCGAAGCUCUUGAUCGAAGCCCCGGUAAACGGCGGCCGUAACUAUAACGGUCCUAAGGUAGCGAAAUUCCUUGUCGGGUAAGUUCCGACCUGCACGAAUGGCGUAAUGAUAGCCACACUGUCUCGACCCGAGACUCAGUGAAGUUGAAAUCGCUGUGAAGAUGCGGCGUUCCCGCGGCAAGACGGAAAGACCCCGUGAACCUUCACUACAGCUUUACACUGAACUUUGAACCUUUUUGUGUAGCAUAGGUGGGAGGCUUUGAAGUCUGGGCGCUAGCUCAGAUGGAGCCAACGUUGAAAUACCACCCUGAAAUGUUCGGAGUUCUAACCUUGCCCCGUAAUCCGGGGUGGGGACAGUGUAUGGUGGGUAGUUUGACUGGGGCGGUCUCCUCCCAAAGAGUAACGGAGGAGC